rnacentral:tRNA from 1 species
GGGGGUUUAGCUCAGCGGCAUAAGCACCUGCCUUGCAAGCAGGCGGUCAGUCGUUGAGUUCAAUCCCCCG